ACUCCUACGGGAGGCAGCAGUGGGGAAUAUUGCACAAUGGGGAACCCGUAGCAUGCAGCCAUGCCGCGUGUGUGAAGAAGGCCUUCGGGUUGUAAAGCACUUUCAGUAGGGAGGAAGGUAGUGUAGUUAACACCUGCAUUAUUGACGUUAGCGACAGAAGAAGCACCGGCUAACUCCGUGCCAGCAGCCGCGGUAAUACGGAGGGUGCGAGCGUUAAUCGGAAUUACUGGGCGUAAAGCGCAUGCAGGUGGUUUGUUAAGUCAGAUGUGAAAGCCCGGGCUCAAGGCCUCAGGCAAUUGCAUUGGAAAUC
rnacentral:rRNA from 1 species